rnacentral:rRNA from 1 species
AGUGAACGCUGGCGGUAGGCCUAACACAUGCAAGUCGAACGGCAGCACAGGAGAGCUUGCUCUCUGGGUGGCGAGUGGCGGACGGGUGAGGAAUACAUCGGAAUCUGCCCAGUCGUGGGGGAUAACGUAGGGAAACUUACGCUAAUACCGCAUACGACCUUCGGGUGAAAGAGGGGGAUCGCAAGACCUCUCGCGAUUGGAUGAGCCGAUGUCGGAUUAGCUAGUUGGCGGGGUAAUGGCCCACCAAGGCGACGAUCCGUAGCUGGUCUGAGAGGAUGAUCAGCCACAAUGGAACUGAGACACGGUCCAGACUCCUACGGGAGGCAGCAGUGGGGAAUAUUGGACAAUGGGCGCAAGCCUGAUCCAGCCAUACCGCGUGGGUGAAGAAGGCCUUCGGGUUGUAAAGCCCUUUUGUUGGGAAAGAAAUCUUUCAGGCUAAUACCCUGGGAGGAUGACGGUACCCAAAGAAUAAGCACCGGCUAACUUCGUG